ACAAACUUAUCAAUAAGGCAGCUUCAGUACUCUUAUCAUCUUAUCUUGAGGUUAUCUUGAGGUUAUCUUGAGAUGAUUUCGGGGCUUUUUAGUGUCCCUGCGGCCCGGUCCUCGACCAGGCCUCCACCCCCCAAGAAGCAGCCCGUGACAGCUGACUAACACCCAGGGGGUGUACAAGAGCCAAUAUGAACAAGCGGAGAAUAUUUCUUGCCUCUUAAGGUUGCCCUGGGAAGACGCCGGAAAAAUGAUACAAGGUGGAGACUCGGGUGGAGUGACGACGGCCCCAAGUACAGCCAGCAACCGGUCGUGGGUCAGUCCCGCCAGCAUGAGUCCCUCGCUCACCACCACCGAUCGCUGCACCUCACUCGAUGCAUCUGAAAAUGCCCGAAAUGCCUUAUUAUUCCACCGUUCUUUACAACAGAUGGGUGCAUUUCUCUCAAUACAUCAGAAACAAGAAUAUCCAUGCAUGCAACAUGUUCUGAACCAAACACUACUCUAGAUAAAUACAUUCCUUAGCUCCAUAGAUUUUGUCAUCCUGUCAUUCCUAUGUUCCGUCCAAAUCCACAAUGUGCUAAACACCCUUCAAUCAAUUUAGAUUCAGUGAAAGUAUAAAAAAUAUAAAGGCUUGCAUAAUGCAUCUUAACCAAUCAACUUUCAAACGUUAAUCCGUAGCUAACAGCUGUGUCUUUCCAUAAACACUUUAGUUUCUCCCUGAUAAAUGGACCCUGGAAAUACUUCUGAUGAUUAUCCAGCUCGUCCUCCUAAGGUUCCCCGACAUCAAGAAACUGUUGUACUAAAUUGCCCUUAUCCUAACCUGCAGAGGACCCAAAACAGAAAACGGGACAGUAUGUCAAUUUAGCAAGCCGCUAUCAUUUUCUAGUACGACAAUCUUCAGCCUUGGGUAGAGCACACGUUAGAAUACGACAUUCUAUUAGGAGGACGUGGUUGAAAUAUCUACAUCAAAUAAACAACACCCCACUAUU